rnacentral:misc_RNA from 1 species
GAUGAAGAACGCAGCGAAAUGCGAUAAGUAAUGUGAAUUGCAGAAUUCAGUGAAUCAUCGAAUCUUUGAACGCAUCUUGCGCUCCUUGGUAUUCUGAGGAGCAUGCCUGUUUGAGUGUCAUUAAAUUCUCAACUACACUGACUUUGAAUUGGUGUGGCUUGGAUUUGGGGGGAAAAUUGUUGUGGGCUUUUUGUAUAGUCUGCUCCCCUGAAAUUGAUUAGCGGUACCUUUGUGGAACUGUCUACAGGUGUGAUAAUUAACUACAUCUUAGACAUCUGCUGGAAUGCUGCUUUCUAAACCUUACUUGUAUUGACAAUCUUGACCUCAAAUCAGGUAGGACUACCCGCUGAACUUAAGCAUAUCAAUAAGCGGAGGA